UUAAAUUUCUACUUGCAGAAGCUAGUAUGUAUCAGAAUUCACUCACUUGUUUUUUUUGUUAAAAAAAAGCAGCAAAAUUUAUUUGUCCUAGCUUCACCCAAAAUUCAAGGGAUAAAAAAGCGGAGGAUUCCUGUACUGAAUCCAGCAGUCCUUCUUUGGCUUCCAAGGUGUUACUGGGAACUUAGUAGUGGGGAAGUUCUGAACUCAUCUUUGCUCCAUGUGGAGCAAAGUCAGCAAUUGCUAUGGUGAACCAUUGCCAGUUAUUCUUCCAGAUGUUUAAAAUUACACUUAUAUUGCUUUACUUAUAUGCUUGUAUUUUAUCUCCAGGUGUUUUAUGAGAACAGGGAGCUGCAUGUCACAGUACCUUUUUCCCAUGGGUUAAGGGAGACUGUUCUAACAUUCCCAGCUUCUGCUGCCCAGUCAUUCUCUCUUUGUAAUUAGCAUGAAGACUACCCUUCAGUCAAAACUAGCCACCUGGAAAGUUUCAGCUUGUAAUAUGCAGCUUUUUUUGUGAAUUAUGAAUGUGCAAAAAAGAGACCUUUCUCCUUACACCCACUUCCUUGCAUAAUUCAAAUAUGAAUGAAUGAAUUUUAUUCAGGCUUGCCAAAAAAAAAAAAAA
rnacentral:lncRNA from 12 species